AGAGGGUUUGGUUCGCAGAGACAGAGGCUUGCCUUCAGUUCGUUUCCAACCAGCUGGUUGGGGGGCAGCCAUGGAAGAUCUGCACGUGCAUGGGGAGCCGUCGAUUUUUGUUUGGGAGGUGCACGGGUUUGUGCCCCUGCUUGACUGGUUGCUCUCUUAGUUAUGUUCCUUAAUGAAGAUGCAUAAGGUUCAGCCAUCUCAUCUGCUCCCCCGGCGAAUUCAUCUCAUCUCAUCUGCUCUUCGUGGUUCAGCCAUCUUUCCAGCUGCGCUUCAUCCUUCUUCUCUUCGCACGGGUUUAGCUCAAAGAGAUUUCUAGGUUUCGUAAAAAAGGGAGGAAGAUCUAAGGAAAAAGAACUGGAGUAAUCAAUUUGAGAACCCCCAGUCUGCUCAUCAAUCUGAUACAAUUUUUGCUGCUGAUCUUGGUGAGGAGCUUGGCUUUUGCAUGAGUGCUGUCUAACUACUUUUGGACUGUUUGAUAGCUCUUCCCAUUGCUGUUAGGCAACAGUUUCCACCAGUACCAGGUUGUUUGGAGGAAGCUCCCUACGGCAUUUGAUGAGCUCCCUCAGAUUUACGGAAUGAAGCUCUGGGCAUAAUCGUUCAGCUCAGCUUAUGUGAUCCGAAAUCUUCAUCGGUGAAUUUUGCAUUAGACUUAAUAUUGUGGUAAGUGCUUGCCAUUAAUGAGGUUACAGUCCAUAUACCAUGAAGAGGGCAUUUCCAUGGGAUGAGCAGGUUGAUGUUAUAUCAUCAGAUGACUCUUCUUCCUCAGAUAUGGAGAUGGAAACCAAUAUUGAGUCUGAUAGCAAGCAGUUAACCAAUAAUACCACAUCUGAUCAACCUGCCAAAGAACGAACAUCCGAAGCUGUUGAAAGGUUUGCUCAUGAGGACAAGGGCGAUUUUGCAACUUCACUAAAGCAUUUUAGAGUCAAAACCUCUACAGAGGAGUAGAAAGAAUGUAAGCCACCUGUACAGCAGAGCUAGCAAGACCUAGAUCCCCUUCCACCACCCAGUACCAUAUAUAUAAACACCUGCCCAAACUCUUUUGAACAAUGAGCAACUAAAGGUUGCCCAUAUUUUGAUGUUUUUAUAACUGCUUGAUCUAUUAAAAUAUGCCCAAUAUUUUCACAUAA